AUUUUUGGGAAGUGAAGACAUUUUCCUGGUCCUCUUUUUUUUUUUUUUUUUUUGCAGCUGUACUAAUCAGGUUUAGAUGUAUGGUGUAAAUUAAGUUUUGGUUCAGGUUAGGGUUAGGAAUAGCCUAGUAAUGGUUAUUGUUAGGGGAAAAUGUCUGGGUUAGGCAUAAAUGCAGUUAUAAAAAUGAAUGGACGUCAAUACAAAGUCCUCAGUUUGAUGCAAGUACAAGGAUGUGUGUGUGCUUGUGUUUGUCUGCUACAAAAAUAUCUUGUUAACCAUUGCAAAGAUUUUAUUGAAACUUCCCGAAACUAAUCAUUGGAUUUACAUCUACAACUGAUUAUCUAUUGGAGUCAACACGAUUCAAGCUAAUUGACACUAGAAAACACAAAAAAUAAGUUUAAAUUAGAUAUGACUGUAGCUGAGAAUUAUUCAUGACACACAGGCCUACUAAGUGCUACUCAGUGAAUGGCAUCUUUGUUUAAAAGACUUCCAGUGGAGGGCAUGGUUCUGCUAAUCAGCUAAAAGCUAACAGUGGAACUAACUUUCAGUAGAUUAGCUUUUUCAAUAACUUUGUAACUGUUAGCAGACCAAUUAGCUUCCACUAAAAGUGGUUUUGACUAAUUUAAAUCUCCUACAACUAACUAACAAGCUAACAUCAACAGGUUUGUGUCAGCCUAGCUGUUAGUGUUAGCUUCUGCUAUUUUUCAUGUUUAGCAGUUUUUCAAUAAUGAAGCUACAUUUUGAGUUAGCUGUUUAUGAGUUAGCAAAGCGUGGUUAGCUGUGCCUUCUACAGAAAACGUUCACAUUAUUUUAGAGCCAACCCUGUUUGUUAGGAAAAUACUGUAUAUAGUGAACAAGUGGAUGGAUUUUAAUGAAACUGCCUACACGUGUGCAAAAUGGCCAUAACUGAGUCAAUUUUACAAAUAUUGAUCUAAAAGUUGGAAGUGGUAGCUGAGAGUUGUUCACAACACAUUCUCUGAGUGUUUAAGAUGCUUAAGAUUGUGCGUAAUGUUUUUAUUAAAGUUUGAUUGUUGGAAAAUCAUUAUUAAUAAUUGUGUUAAGUUCAAGUAUAAAAAAAUAGUGGUUAUAUUUGCACCCGCCUUGUCAGUAAUGACAGAGGAAUCAAUGUUUAACAGAUACGUUCCAUUUAAAACGACUCCUUCUGAGCGGUUCAGCAGGAUGUUGUUGCAAACCAAGUGUUGCGAAGGAGACGAAAAUAAAUAUAAAGCAACCAUGUGACGUAAACAGGCUGACAAAGCAGCAACUUUAGCUGAUGUUAUUCCA